CUGAGUAAUUGGGAUCUUCUUACCUUCCUUUCCAGGAAGGUGAUUGGUCUCUUCUUCUCUUUAACCCUUUAUUAUUAUCUUAUCUAGUUGCUUUGGCAGUGUCGUCUAUCUCUUACAGGAUAGGCCUCUGCCAAAGGACACAUUCAAAUCUCUUUUUGUCAAUAACAGUUGGAUCAACCUUAUCAUGUCUAAGUUUUUACUUUUAAAAUAGUUUUA
rnacentral:misc_RNA from 1 species